GACUCCCUCAAACUCCCCCGGGACUAACAGGAGAAAACCUAAAUACACUAAAAUCUCUCGAACUCUCCCACGACUAACCCCGUGAAAGUUUUCAAGUUAGGGUUAGUACUGAUUCAUCAUGGCGACACAGAUGAAAGGUUGUUGAAGGAGUACUUUGCUGAGUUGAACGAAGUAUUGACUAGAGAGCUUGAUAUAGAUGGUUAAUCUGGUGUUGAAGUUAGGGUUUUCUCAUAUGAGAACUGAAAUCAUCAUCAGAGCUACUAGAACUCAAAAUGUUCUUGGGUAAUCCGCAAAGUACUUGUGCGUUUUUCUUUAUGGAUAUCGUUUUGUUGUUGCAUACGCAGCAUCACAUCAUCAGGUCAAGAGAUAUCAAUCGCACUUUACUUAAUUUGUACCACAGGAGUCUGCAAGGGAGUUUCUUCUUUUUGGGGAUCGUAUCCGCACGUGACAAUUCAAUAUCAUUAGCCAUUUUUUUAAAAAUUUGUAUACAUUCUUAUACUCAGCUGUAAACUGCACAUUCGUAUUUGCUCACUGUGCUAAUUAGUUAAUGAGUGUUGCAACAUCCAACAUCAGGUCACGAUAUAAAUCGCCCUUUUCAGCUAGUCAUUGAACGUGUUUGGAAGGGAACUCCCUACGGUGGAUUCAAGAGCCAUUUCCAAGUACCAUAUUUGUUGAGUAACCCUUAUGUUUGCCUGGAGAUAGCUGGUUCUAUGUUGAGUGACAAUUAUUUUAUAUGCACUUAACACUUGAUUGGUUUUUUCUUCUAGUAAUUUUGAUAGUUAAUGGUUUCACAGGCUCUUACAUUGUUUUUUAUCUCAAUGUUUUUACCAUGUGGAAGUCAGACUUGAAGCAGAUUCAUGACCUGAUUCCUGGUAAUUACUAACACUGAAAUUUGCUGUGUACUGUAAAACUGAUCUGCUCGCCUUCAUAAAACUGACCUGUCUAGACUUUGGUAGGCACUCAGCUGACCGUGAAUGCGCUAUAAUGUUCUUAAUGCCGUACCUCUCAUAUAUGCUGGCCGAGGCAUACAUUUUCAACAAUGUCAUUCAUCGCGGAAGCGUUUAUCUUCUUAUACUGUGGAAUAGAUGCCUCAGAUGUAGAGAAAUGGAAAAUUAGCAAUAAGAGCUUCAAAACAUGCAUCAGUAUGUACUCCAUCAUCAUCCUUCUGAUUGCGGUUGUAAUUUGGUGGGCUGGUCUUAUGAGAGGAGCCGUUUCUAUCGCCCUGGCUUUCAAACAGUUCACUUAUUCUGGCGGAACAAUGAUUCCAGCUCAUGCAACAAUGGUCACACAUACACGGUUUUCACUAUACUUUUUACUACUGUGAUAAUACUAUUCCAAGUCAUGAUAUGACCCUUCCCUUGCUUUCAUUUGAUGAAUCUGCCUCGACCAACAUCCUUAGAGUGAAGGACAGUAUCUCCAUGCUGUUGGAAAGACCCGUAUAUACAAUACACUCAUUGGAGAAAAUUUGAUGAUAAAUACAUGAGGCUGUUUUCACCCCCUGCUCAUGAUGGAUCUGGGUUUCUAUCUAUGGCUAACUCAUGAUGGAUCUGGGUUUCUAUCUAUGGCUAAUCAUGGUCCUCAUAAAAAUGGUUCUCAGUUCUUAAUCACUUUCAAGGCUGCGCACCAUCUUGAUGGGAAGCACGUUGUGUUUGGUAAGCUUGUGCUAGGCCGUGAGACUGUAAAGAAGAUUUCGGAAAAGGGAAAACCUGAGUGUACGGUGAAAAUUGUCAACUGCAGGGAACAUCUUGAAGGAAUUAUCAUGCCAAUAUCUAGAGGGGAAUUAGUGCACAGACCAGGGAGAGAUGAUUCCUUGAGCCAUUCUCUGUCGGAUAGAUAUUACAGUGGCGACUUGUGUUGAUGGUUUGUGGUCAGGCUGUGCUGCGGAAAUAUUCCUGGAUGUGAAGAGUUGCAGCUGGAAUAAGCUGCUGAUAGGAUGACAAGUUCAAAUUGCUUGUAUGGUAUUUGCUGCACUUUUCUGCUAUAACCAUACAUUGUCAUCUAACAUCUCAUCUUGAACAAUGUCUAUUCAUUUAUUUUGCUUAUGGAACUUUCUGUCAACCUUUAUACAGUAAUGCUCAUGUCUGAGAGUACUGAAUGAGAUUGAACUGUAACUUUCAUAAUGUAAUUAUGAAUACUAGAUUUUUCUAUUUUUUGUGUUUGGUUGAAGAAUGUAUGGAUGGUUUUGGAGACCGAGAAUGUAUAAAUGGUGUUUCAAUUUUUUAUUUUUUUUUGUACUGCAGGCCUGUAAACGGAAGUCCAGGUCAUGGUGACCUGUAUUGCAGGCCUGUAAACCGGAAGCCCAGGUCCAUGAUAAU